rnacentral:rRNA from 1 species
GACGAACGCUGGCGGCGUGCCUAAUACAUGCAAGUCGAACGCAGUGGGGACGGGUGAGUAACACGUGGGUAACCUCCCAUCAGAGGGGAUAACACUUGGAAACAGGUGCUAAACCGAUAUAGAUGGAUGGACCCGCGGUGCAUUAGCUAGGUGGUGAGGUAACGGCUCACCAAGGCCACGAGGCAUAGCCGACCUGUGAGGGUGAUCGGCCACACUUGGACUGAGACACGGCCCAUACUCCGACGGGAGGCAGCAGUAGGGAAUCUUCGGCAAUGGACGAAAUUCUGACCGAGCAACGCCGCGUGAGUGAAGAAGGUUUUCGGAUCGUAAAACUCUGUUGUUAGAGAAGCGGUAUCUAACCAGAAAGCCACGGCUAACUACGUACCAGCCGCCGCGGUAAUAC